rnacentral:rRNA from 1 species
CCUACGGGAGGCAGCAGUGAGGAAUAUUGGUCAAUGGACGCGAGUCUGAACCAGCCAAGUAGCGUGAAGGAAGACUGCCCUAUGGGUUGUAAACUUCUUUUAUAUGGGAAUAAAACAGGGUAUGCAUACCCUCUUGUAUGUACCAUAUGAAUAAGGAUCGGCUAACUCCGUGCCAGCAGCCGCGGUAAUACGGAGGAUCCGAGCGUUAUCCGGAUUUAUUGGGUUUAAAGGGUGCGUAGGUGGUUUGUUAAGUCAGUUGUGAAAGUCUGCGGCUCAACCCUGAAAUUGCAGUUGAAACUGGCGGGCUUGAGUACAGUAGAGGUAGGCGGAAUGUGUGGUGUAGCGGUGAAAUGCUUAGAUAUCAUGAAGAACACCGAUUGCGAAGGCAGCUCACUGGACUGCGACUGACAUUGAUGCUCGAAAGUGUGGGUAGCAAACAGGAGUAGAUACCCGGGUAGUC